CAGCAACCAUAGGGUUUCAGUCAGAAACUUCACACACUAGUAGCUGAUAACAAUACAAAUCAGUGGCUAAAAGGAUAUUUCUAAGGCGAUGAAUUCCAUAUGUCAGAAGGAAAUUUAGAAUCGUACAACCAGUCAGCAGCUACCCAUAAACCAGACCAACCUAUUAAGUCGAGCGGGCAGAAGCUGUGAUUCCCAGUGUAACACCGCAGAAUGACGGCUAGUUUUCGGAUUACAUUUCUGUGCGGAAGGAUUAAAAAACUACACCAGACUGGUGGCCAUGACAGAUGUCAGUGGGAAAUUUAAACAUGGACUAGAUACUUUGAUGUGUAGCAAAAAAGUUCAUCGUUGAUGGUGGUGUUUUUCUGUGAUAUAUUGACUGGGAUAGUAUUACUCUUUAGAAAUACAGAGCUGUCAAUGCUGCAAUUUUGUUGUGAAAUUCACAAUCCAUGUCCAAAAGUGUUUGUUUUACUAUACAGCAAAGAAGGAGAAAUUGUACCGGGCCGACA